AGGACGACGCUGGCGGCGUGCUUAACACAUGCAAGUCGAGCGAUGAAGCACCUUCGGGUGUGAAUUAGCGGCGAACGGGUGAGGAACACGUGAAGAAUCUGCCUUCAACUCUGGGAUAACUCCGGGAAACCGGGGCUAAUACCGGAUAUGAGCCUUGAUCGCAUGAUCGGGGCUGGAAAGUUUUUCGGUUGAAGAUGACUUCGCGGCCUAUCAGCUUGUUGGUGAGGUAAUGGGCUCACCAAGGCGACGACGGGUAGCCGGCCUGAGAGGGCGACCGGCCACACUGGGACUGAGACACGGCCCAGACUCCUACGGGAGGCAGCAGUGGGGAAUAUUGGGCAAUGGAGGAAACUCUGACCCAGCGACGCCGCGUGAGGGAUGAAGGCCUUCGGGUUGUAAACCUCUUUCAGUAGGGAAGAAGCGAAAGUGACGGUACCGUAAGAAUAAGCACCGGCUAACUACGUG
rnacentral:rRNA from 1 species